rnacentral:rRNA from 1 species
UUUCUGGCUCUCUAGGGAGUAUUGUGCGCACUUGUCAUCGUUAUGAUAUAUCUCACCUGUGCACCUUUUGUAGACCUUGUGGAUAUCUUUCUGAUGCUUAGCAUUCAGUCAAGGGGAUUGACUUUGUUGUCUUUCCUUACAUUUCCAGGUCUAUGUAUUUUCAUAUACCCCUUAUGUAUGUUUUCGAAUGACAGUUAAAAUAGGCCUUUGUUGCCUAUAUAGUUAUAUACAACUUUCAGCAACGGAUCUCUUGGCUCUCGCAUCGAUGAAGAACGCAGCGAAAUGCGAUAAGUAAUGUGAAUUGCAGAAUUCAGUGAAUCAUCGAAUUUUUGAACGCACCUUGCGCUCCUUGGUAUUCCGAGGAGCAUGCCUGUUUGAGUGUCAUUAAUAUAUAUAUCAACAACCUCCAUUGUUGAAUGUGAAGGUUGCCGAACUCCUUUGGAGGUCAGCUCCUUUGAAAUACAUUAGCAGGACCAUUCGCUCAUUGGUGUGAUACAUUUAUCUACACUAUUGAUGUGAAGCAAGUUCAGCUUCUAAUAGUCUUUUGACAA